rnacentral:rRNA from 1 species
AGGGGAAUAUUGGACAAUGGGCGAAAGCCUGAUCCAGCCAUGCCGCGUGUGUGAAGAAGGUCUUCGGAUUGUAAAGCACUUUAAGUUGGGAGGAAGGGCAUUAACCUAAUACGUUAGUGUUUUGACGUUACAGACAGAAUAAGCACCGGCUAACUCUGUGCCAGCAGCCGCGGUAAUACAGAGGGUGCAAGCGUUAAUCGGAAUUACUGGACGUAAAGCGCGCGUAGGUGGUUUGUUAAGUUGGAUGUGAAAUCCCCGGGCUCAACCUGGGAACUGCAUUCAAAACUGACUGACUAGAGUAUGGUAGAGGGUGGUGGAAUUUCCUGUGUAGCGGUGAAAUGCGUAGAUAUAGGAAGGAACACCAGUGGCGAAGGCGGCCACCUGGACUAAUACUGACACUGAGGUGCGAAAGCGUGGGGAGCAAACA